rnacentral:rRNA from 1 species
CAAUAGCGUAUAUUAAAGUUGUUGCGGUAAAAAAGCUCGUAGUUGGAUUUCUACCGAAGAUAGCCGGUCGGGUCUUCGACCUUGUAUCUGGUUUUGUCUUUGGUAUCCUCAUAGGGAACGUUUCUGCGCUUUAUUGCGUGGUGCGGUAUCUAAGACUUUUACUUUGAGGAAAUUAGAGUGUUCACGGCAGGCAAACGCCUUGAAUAUAUUAGCAUGGAAUAAUAACAUAGGAUCUUCGUCCUAUUUUGUUGGUUUCUAGGGCUAAGAUAAUGAUUAAUAGGGAUAAUUGGGGGCAUCUGUAUCAACGCGUCAGAGGUGGAAUUCUUGGAUUGCGUUGCGACAAACUACUGCGAAAGCAUUUGCCAAGGAUGUUUUCAUUGA